rnacentral:rRNA from 1 species
UACGAAGGGUGCAAGCGUUAAUCGGAAUUACUGGGCGUAAAGGGUGCGCAGGCGGUCUCCUGAGUCUGUUGUGAAAGCCCUGGGCUCAACCUGGGAAUGGCACUGGAUCCUGGGAGGCUGGAGUGCGGUAGAGGAUGGUGGAAUUCCCGGUGUAGCGGUGAAAUGCGUAGAGAUCGGGAGGAACAUCAGUGGCGAAGGCGGCCAUCGGGAACAGCACUGACGCUGAGGCACGAAAGCGUGGGGAGCAAACAGG